rnacentral:lncRNA from 10 species
GAUCUUAUGCUUGUCAGUCCUGCUGAGCAUCCAGGCCACUUACAGACUCCAAGAAGAGUCCUGUCAGCCACGGCUCUGACUUGUUGGCCCUCCCGGCAUUUAUUUAGCACACAUUUAAUGACAGAAGUCUCAGGCUGGAAACACUCUUUUUGUAGAACAUACAAAUGGACAUUUCUAAGCACAUUGAGGCCUAUAAUGAAAAAUCAAAUAUCCCACAAUGAAAACUAGAAGGAAGCUAUCUGUGAUAAUGCUUUGUGGUGUAUGGAUUCAUCUCACUGACUGAAACCUGAGUUUUGAUUCACCAGGUUGGAAACCUUCUUUUUGUAAAACCUACAGUGGGACAUUUCUGAGCUCAUUGAGGCUUGUAGUGAAAAACUGAGUUUCCUGCAAUAAAAACCGAAAACAGGUUAUCUGUGAAAGUGAUUUGUGAUGUGCAAAUUCAUCUCAUGAAAAUAAACCUCUGCUUUGAUUGAAUAAAUGGGAAGAACUUUUUUGUAGAAAUUUCUGAGCUCCUUUAGGUCUAUAGCAAAAAAAUCUAAUAUCCUGCAAACAAAACUAGAAACAAGCUACAUGUGAAGGUGCUUUCUGAUGUGUGAAUUCAUCUCACCAAAUGAAACUCGUGUUUUGAUUUAGUAGGUUGAAAACAAUCUUUUUGAAGAAUAUACGAAGGGACAUUACUGAGCUUAUUGAGGCUUAUAUUGAAAAACUGAAUAUCCCACAAAAUAAACUAGAAACAAGUGAUCUGUGAAAAUAGUUGGCCAUGUGUAAAUUUAUCUCACACAGUUAAACCCUUUUUUUGACUCAACAAAUUAGAACUCUUUUUGUAGAAUCUAUGAAGGGACAUUUCUGAGCUCAUUGAGGCCUAUCGUGAAAAACUGAAUAUCCCAUGAUGAAAACUAGAAAGAAGCUAUCUGUGAAAAUAUUUAGCAAUGUGUUCUUUCAUCUCACAGAGUUAAAUCUUUUUUUUUUUUUAUUCACCAUAUUGGAAAUACUCUUUUUGUAGAAUCUACAAAGAAACAUUUCUGAGCCCAUUGAAGCCUAUAGUAAAAAAACAAAUAUUCUGCAGUUGAAACUAGAAACAAUCUCUUUGAAAAUGCCUUGUGAUGUGUGGAUGCAUCUCAUUAAAAGGAGCCUGUGUUUUGGUUCACCAGAUUGGAAACACUUUUUUGUAGAAUAUACGAUGGGAUGUAUCUGAGCCCAUUGAGGCCUAUAGUAAAAAAUGGAAUAUCUUGCAAUAAAAAACUAGAAACGAGCUAUCUUUGAAUAUGCUUUCUGAUGUGUGGAUUCAUCUCACAGAGUUAAACCUUAUUUUUGACUCACCAAGAUGGAAAUACUUUUUUUUGUAGAAUCUAUGAUAAGACAUUUCUGAGUCUAUUGAUGUGUAUAGUGCCAAACAGAAUAUCCCACAAUAAAAACUAGAAACAAGCUAUCUGGGAAAAUGCCUUGUGAUGUUUUCAUUCAUCUUAGAGAGUUAAACCAUUGUUGUAAUUAAACAGGUUGGAAACACUCUCUUUGUAGAAACUACGAAUUGACAUUUCUGAGCCCUUUGAGGCCUACAGUGAAAAACAGAAUAUCCAGUGAUUAAAACUAAAAACUUUCUGUCUGUGAAAAUGCUUUGUGAUGUGUGGAAGCAUCUCAUAGAGUUAAACCUUUGUUUUGGUUCAACAGGUUGGAAACACUUUUUUAGUAGAAUCUAUGAGAAAAUCUUUGUGAACCCAAUGAGGACUCUGUGUGUGUGUUUGUGUGUGGGGGGGGUGGGGGGGCAGGAAACAACGAGGAUUUCAUGAUGGAAACUGGAAAGAACCAUCUGUGAAAAUGGUUUGUGAUGUGUGGAUUCACCUCACAGAAUUAAACCUUUGGUUUGAUAGAACAGAUUGAAAACACUGUUUUUGUACAAUCUAAAAAGAGACAUUUCUGAGCCCAUUGAAGCCUGACGUGAAAAACCAAGGGUCUCACAAUAAAAACGAAUUACAAGCUAUCUGUGAAAAUGCUUAGCAAUGUCCGGAUUCAUCUCACUGAAUAGACCCUGUGUUUUGAUUCACCAGGUUGGAAACUCUUUCUGCAGAAUCUGCAAAGAAAUAUUUCUGAGCCCAUUGAGGCCUACAGUGGAAAACUGAAUAUUCUGUGAUAAAACUAGAAACACCCUAUCUGUGAAAAUGCUUUGUGAUGUGUGGAUUUUUCUCAUCGAAUGGAACCUCUGUUUUGACUCACAAGGGUGAAACACUAUUUUAGUAGAAUCUAGGAAGAAACAUAUCUGAGCCCAUUUAUGCCUACAGUGAGAAACUGAAUACCCUGCAAUAAAAAGUAGACAGAAGCUAUUUGUAAAAAUGCUUUGUGAUGUGUGGAUUCAGUGUUAAACUUUUAUUUUGAUUCCACAGUUUUGACACCCUAUUUGUAGAAUAUAUGAAUGAACAUUUCUCAGCCCAUUGAGGCCUAUCAUGUGAAACCAAAUAUUUUAUAAUAAAAACUGGAAACAAGUG